GCGUGAUGGGCCAGCACAGGCCAUCCUUUUUGGCAGGAAAGAGAAUCAGAUUUCACUUUUAAGAGAGCGAGGGAAAAAAAAAUGUAUCGCAUUGGAUCGCAGGUGACCAGCGGCACAUUCCUAGCAUAUCAGACCUGUUCCACGUUGCAACAGGUGUUAGUUGCAACAAGGUCCGAACAGCAGCAGAGCUCUAUCUCGACAGGAUAUCCAAGAGACGGUUGGCGAGCGCGCAGCAGCCUGAUGCAAACCACGACCACCUGCCGCUGCCCGUUUAAUUUUUUACGUUGCGCGUUUGGAAGCGCCACAGGGCACACAAACAUGUCACGAAGAACUAUUCGAUCGUGAAGAAAAUGUGUAGACUACCCCCGCACGGUCGAUUCCGGUUCCGGGUCGCAAAGCACACGGAAUCCGUUUAUUUGUCUUAUUUAUAUUUUAAUGCUAUUUCCAUUUUAUUUGAUUUUUAUUGCUUUGCGUGCCGCAGCUCUUUCAAGUUCCGUGGUGGGGUCGGUCGACAAGCAAAAGAUUAGAGCGAUUCAAAGAAAAACAAUCGGCGGGAAGUUUAACUUUCUUGGCUAUUCACGCAAGAGAAAGACGGAAGACAAAAACAAAAUAAGGUAUUUUAACCGCCCAUAAUCAAAGCGGAUAGAAAUCCGUGAUUUAUCCCACAUCAUCCGCAUCUCUAUUGACGUAUAAUUGGCCGGCAGUCGUCGUUAAAAAAGAGUCCCGACUCUCUGAUGACCCCGUUAAUGCAUUCAUCAAGUAGGGAAAACAGCAACAACAAUGGGAAAAAAAAAAAAAAGAAACAACAAAACACAUCGAUUGGGUUCUUCAGACUUUCAAAUCCUCCUCCUAUUCCUCCUCCUCUUGUUUCCCCAAACCAUAAAAAAAAAAAAAAAAAAAGCUGUGGAAUAAACAACAAAACAUUUGCCUACACCGCACACAGAAAGCUCAAGAAAAAGAACGGCGAAACAAAAGCAUUUUAGGUCUUUUCUCUCUCUCUCUCUCUCUCUUCUGGAGACGAAAAAAAAAGAGUGGGCGGAGUGGGAGGUGAUAACGAUUUGAAACAAGUUUGCCUUGUGCGGAUGCCGACCGCUUCUCAUCCAACCCCCUCCAUCCGUGUAUAACUUCGUGCUUCCCUUUUUGUUUUAAAUAAAUAUUUAAGCUAUU